rnacentral:rRNA from 1 species
GACGAACGCUGGCGGCGUGCCUAAUACAUGCAAGUCGAGCGAAGCGAGGACGGUUGCGUAACACGUGGAAAACCUCCUUUAAGAACGGGAUAACUUCGGGUAACCGGAGCUAAACCGGAUAUUCAUCGAUGGAUCCGCGCUGCAUUCGCUAGUUGGUAAGUUAACGGCUUACCAAGGCAACGACGCAUAGCCGACCUGAGAGGGUGAUCGGCCACACUGGAACUGAGACACGGUCCAGACUCCUACGGGAGGCAGCAGUAGGGAAUCUUCCGCAAUGGGCGAAAGCCUGACGGAGCAACGCCGCGUGAGUGAUGAAGGUCUUCGGAUCGUAAAACUCUGUUAUUAGAGAAGCGGUACCUAAUCAGAAAGCCACGGCUAACUACGUGCCAGCAGCCGCGGUAAUUC